CGGACGGGUGAGUAACACGUAGGCAACCUGCCUGUAAGACUGGGAUAACUCGUGGAAACGCGAGCUAAUACCGGAUAACACUUUUCAUCUCCUGAUGAGAAGUUGAAAGGCGGCUUUUGCUGUCACUUACAGAUGGGCCUGCGGCGCAUUAGCUAGUUGGUAAGGUAACGGCUUACCAAGGCGACGAUGCGUAGCCGACCUGAGAGGGUGAUCGGCCACACUGGGACUGAGACACGGCCCAGACUCCUACGGGAGGCAGCAGUAGGGAAUCUUCCGCAAUGGACGAAAGUCUGACGGAGCAACGCCGCGUGAGUGAUGAAGGUUUUCGGAUCGUAAAACUCUGUUGUUAGGGAAGAACAAGUGCUAUAGUAACUGAUGGCACCUUGACGGUACCUAACCAGAAAGCCACGGCUAACUACGUGCCAGCAGCCGCGGUAAUACGUAGGUGGCAAGCGUUGUCCGGAAUUAUUGGGCGUAAAGCGCUCGCAGGCGGUUCUUUAAGUCUGAUGUGAAAUCUUACGGCUCAACCGUAAACGUGCAUUGGAAACUGGGGAACUUGAGUGCAGAAGAGGAGAGUGGAAUUCCACGUGUAGCGGUGAAAUGCGUAGAGAUGUGGAGGAACACCAGUGGCGAAGGCGACUCUCUGGUCUGUAACUGACGCUGAGGAGCGAAAGCGUGGGGAGCGAACAGGAUUAGAUACCCUGGUAGUCCACGCCGUAAACGAUGAGUGCUAGGUGUUAGGGGGUUUCCGCCCCUUAGUGCUGAAGUUAACGCAUUAAGCACUCCGCCUGGGGAGUACGGCCGCAAGGCUGAAACUCAAAAGAAUUGACGG
rnacentral:rRNA from 1 species